rnacentral:rRNA from 1 species
CCCCGGAAGGGGAGUGAAAUAGAUCCUGAAACCGUGUGCAUACAAACAGUAGGAGCGGACUUGUUCCGUGACUGCGUACCUUUUGUAUAAUGGGUCAGCGACUUACAUUCAGUGGCAAGGUUAACCAGAUAGGGAAGCCGUAGAGAAAUCGAGUCCGAAUAGGGCGAUCAGUCGCUGGGUGUAGACCCGAAACCAAGUGAUCUACUCAUGGCCAGGAUGAAGGUGCGGUAACACGCCCUGGAGGUCCGAACCCAC